rnacentral:rRNA from 1 species
UACAGAGGGUGCGAGCGUUGUUCGGAAUUAUUGGGCGUAAAGGGCGCGUAGGCGGUGCGGUAAGUCACCUGUGAAAUCUCCUGGCUCAACUGGGAGCUUGCAGGCGAAACUGCCGUGCUGGAGUGUGGGAGAGGUGCGUGGAAUUCCCGGUGUAGCGGUGAAAUGCGUAGAUAUCGGGAAGAACACCCGUGGCGAAGGCGGCUCUCUGGGACGGUACUGACGCUGAGACGCGAAAGCGUGGGGAGCGAACAGG